UCCAGCUUUGCCACCUGAGGGGUGAUGAGCUUCGUGCGCUCCUUCUUGGGACCGUCCUCCUCAGCUGCCGACAGCUUCUCCAGCUUCUGGAAGUAGUUCUGAUAGUAAUAGUCAUCCAAGUAGGGAUCGGUGCUCUGCAGCUGCAUCAUCUGGAUCUUGGACACCCAGUCCUUCUCCCGCUGCAGCAUGAGGUUGGCGUAGGGGUCCUUGCGCAUCUGCUCCUGGUGGCUGCCCCGGUGGCUCCCUCGGUCCCCCACCGAGCCGUUGAGGCCACGGUGCUGGUUUCGGUUCUGCUGCUGCCGCUGGUGCAGGAGCCGGCGGUGCUGGGGGUGCAGGUG
rnacentral:lncRNA from 1 species